rnacentral:tRNA from 1 species
GCCUUCGUGGUGUAGUGGUCAGCACACUGAGCCGGUAUAAUUUCAGAGGUCCGUGGUUCGAUUCCCGGCGAAGGAA